rnacentral:rRNA from 1 species
UACGUAGGGUGCGAGCGUUGUCCGGAAUUAUUGGGCGUAAAGAGCUUGUAGGCGGUUUGUCGCGUCUGCUGUGAAAUCUCAAGGCUCAACCUCCAGCCUGCAGUGGGUACGGGCAGACUAGAGUGCGGUAGGGGAGAUUGGAAUUCCUGGUGUAGCGGUGGAAUGCGCAGAUAUCAGGAGGAACACCGAUGGCGAAGGCAGAUCUCUGGGCCGUAACUGACGCUGAGGAGCGAAAGCAUGGGGAGCGAACAGG